AGAGUUUGAUCCUGGCUCAGAUUGAACGCUGGCGGUAUGCUUAACACAUGCAAGUCGAACGGAAACGAUGGUAGCUUGCUACCAGGCGUCGAGUGGCAGACGGGUGAGUAACGCGUAGGAAUCUGCCUGAUAGUGGGGGAUAGCCCAGAGAAAUCUGGAUUAAUACCGCAUAAUCUCUAUGGAGUAAAGGAGCCCUCUUCUUGAAAGGUUUCGCUAUCAGAUGAGCCUGCGUAAGAUUAGCUUGUUGGUGAGGUAAAAGCUCACCAAGGCGACGAUCUUUAGCUGGUCUGAGAGGAUGAUCAGCCACACUGGAACUGAGACACGGUCCAGACUCCUACGGGAGGCAGCAGUGGGGAAUAUUGGACAAUGGGCGCAAGCCUGAUCCAGCAAUACCGCGUGUGUGAAGAAGGCCUGAGGGUUGUAAAGCACUUUCAAUUGUGAAGAAAAGCUAAUGGCUAAUACCCAUUAGCCUUGACGUUAACUUUAGAAGAAGCACCGGCUAACUCCGUGCCAGCAGCCGCGGUAAUACGGAGAGUGCAAGCGUUAAUCGGAAUUACUGGGCGUAAAGCGUGCGUAGGUGGUUUGUUAAGUUAGAUGUGAAAGCCCUGGGCUCAACCUAGGAACUGCACUUAAAACUGGCAAACUAGAGUAUAGGAGAGGAAAGUGGAAUUUCAGGUGUAGCGGUGAAAUGCGUAGAUAUCUGAAGGAACAUCAAUGGCGAAGGCAGCUUUCUGGACUAAUACUGACACUGAGGUACGAAAGCGUGGGUAGCAAACAGGAUUAGAUACCCUGGUAGUCCACGCCGUAAACGAUGACAACUAGCCGUUGGGAGG
rnacentral:rRNA from 1 species